CUCAAAUUCAGGAAGAACGUGAGAUGAAUCGAGAUUUUCAAGUUCAAGUUGAAGAACAGAUCUGCGCAUGUGCGAGAUCCGAGAUGGCUGCUAGACGUUCUUCUCCGUGCUGAUUUAAACGGAAAAACGCUGGAAACCCCAAGAAAACCGAGCCAAUUUUUCUAUGAAGAGCUUAGGGAUGUCCGAAGUCUGGGGGAUCCGAAGGGGCCAGACCUCUGCGGGGGCUGCCAUUCUCGGGCGCCCCCGGCUCGCUCAAACAUCAUCGGAGGUCUGUGUGUUGCCUGACGGUAGAGGAAGCGAAGCCACGCUGGGAACGGCAAUAGCGGAUUUCGGCGUCUUUGGCGUUUUUCGCUGGCAGCGACUUCCCUCGGCGCUAUUUAAAGGUUCUGGUGCCCUCGUCUUGCUAGCUGCACUCCCUGGGGGCUUUUUCUGGUUACCAUCUCCCCGGAAUGCAAGCGGACAGACGGAGGAAUUACUGGAACUGGUGAUAGCGCUCUGUGGGGGCUCUGCUCAGCCGCCAUUAUUUUGGAGAGAGAGCAGACGGAUAAGAACACUGCUGAGGCUGCCCAGGAUGUAGGAGCGGGGCAGGAGGCUCUCCCCGAGGUUGGUGCCUCCACUGAGGUAGCUGCGCAUGAUGGUGAAGCUGGAGGAGGAGGAGCCGGUGGACAUGGUGCUGGUGCCCACAUUCGUGCCCCCGGAUGACUUCUCUGCUGGCUGCCCACAUGUGUCACACAACACUGUGCGAGAACGCAGGUUGUACUCGCCCGGAUCUCCGCUGGCACUGCAGUGGCUCUGGAGAAGGGAGGAAGAGGGGAAGAAGCAGAGCUUGGCGCCACCCGGACCGAGACCCCACCUGGGGCUGGAGAUGCUGGAUUCGGAUCUGGGGGCUCCUUGGUGCUCUGUGAACCUGGAUGUUUCAUUACCAAACUAGGUAACUUCAUCAGCGCAGAAAAGCCCCAAGGCCAGAAAGCCCCAAGGCCCCCACAGUUCAACCCUGAACUAAAAUUAUUCUCUUCUACCAGAUUCCUACUUGGCCCUUUUGACCCCCCCGGCUUCCUCCGGAGCCCGCGAUGACUUUUUAAAACACAGCCCAGUGUAGAAUCCAUGUUACAUUUAACUAUUCCAGAAAUAAAAGAUUACACUGGAAUUGAGGCUAAACGCAUUUCUCUCUUUACUUGUUAGAUUUACAAGCCUGUUAAAUGGGAGCAGGUUAACCAGCUGAAGGCUAAAUUUGCAAGGUGGUCU